GGAUUUACAGCAACAGCUCACGGUUCCUGACAUUUCUCUGCUUGCUGCCUGCCCUGCCCUGCCUGCGUGGAGGGUUUGUGCAUCACCCUGUGGGAAAUAGUAAAGAUGAUGAGCUGAGGCUGCUGCUCUGCCCAGAGCGGGGUCCCUGGCAGGCCUUCAGUGGGAUCAUCUCCCUGGUGGUGUCAGGUACUCCAGGAAUUUCAGUGGAAAAUGAGGAGUCAAUGCAGGAUUGGAAUAAUUUCUCAAAAUUUCGUCAGUCAGCAAAUAAAGGAAAAUCGUAAUUUCUGUGGAUGAAUGCAA